UACAGAGGGUGCGAGCGUUGUCCGGAAUCACUGGGCGUAAAGGGCGCGUAGGCGGCCUGCUAAGUCGAACGUGAAAUCCCCGGGCUCAACCCGGGAACUGCGUCCGAUACUGGUUGGCUUGAAUUCGGGAGAGGGAUGCGGAAUUCCAGGUGUAGCGGUGAAAUGCGUAGAUAUUCGCAAGAACACCAGUGGCGAAGGCGGCUCACUGGCCCGAUACUGACGCUGAGGUGCGAAAGCGUGGGGAGCAAACAGG
rnacentral:rRNA from 1 species